UUUCCGUAGGUGAACCUGCGGAAGGAUCAUUAAAAGUGAGACCUCUGAUUUAAGGGUCUAUUAAUAAUCCCUACCCUUUGUGAAUUUGUUUGUUUUUAAUUUGCGUCUUUCCCUGUUUUUUGAUGGAGCUUGUUAAAAGCAAAAUCAAAUGCAGGGGAAUGGCAAAACCUUUUUUUUAAAAUUAAACAUUUUGUAUUCAUUUGUCUAAAAAUUAUUUUUAUAAUAUAAAAACAACUUUUGACAAUGGAUCUCUUGUUCUCGCAACGACGAAGAACGCAGCAAAUGCGAUAAGUAAUGUGAAUUGCAGAAUACGUGAAUCAUCGAAUCUUCGAACGCAUAUUGCACUUUUUUGGUUUACCAAAAAGUAUGUCUGUUGAGUAUCAGUAAAAUAUUCUCAUAAAAACUUUUUGUUUUUAUGGUUUAUGAGUGUUUUACAAUGAUAAACAAGUUGUUUCACUUUAAAUUCUUUGUCUUAUUAAAAAUCAUUUAAAAACUGAUUUUUUUUUAAAUUGGAUAAAAUUUUCCUGUAAAAAGGAAUAACCUAAACAAUUUUAAUAAAUGAAUUAGUUUGAUUUUUUAAAAAGAUCUAACAAGGAAAAAAAAGUAAAAAUUAACUUGAUCUCAAAUCAGAUAAGAGUACCGCUGAACUUAAGCAUAUCAAUAAGCGGAGGAAAAGAAACUAACUAGGAUUCCCUCAGUAACGGCGAGUGAAGCGGGAAGAGCUCAAAUUUGAAAUCUUCAAGGUUCUACCUUGACGAAUUGUAGUUUAAAGAAGUGUUUUCUGUUGGAGUUUUGGUAAAAGUUCUUUGGAAUAGGACAUCAUAGAGGGUGAGAAUCCCGUAUUUGACCAUUAUUUCCAACUUUGUGAUACACUUUCAAAGAGUCGGAUGUUUGGGAAUGCAGUCCAAAAUGGGUGGUAAAUUUCAUCUAAAGCUAAAUACUGGCGAGAGACCGAUAGCGAACAAGUACCGUGAGGGAAAGAUGAAAAGAACUUUGAAAAGAGAGUUAAACAGUACGUGAAAUUGUCAAAAGGGAAGCGUUUGACACCAGUGUUGUUUUCUCGAAAAUCAAUUAAAAUGGUGGGAUUCUGUGUUGUAUUGACUUUAUCAGCUUUCUGCACUCUUUUCCUAUCUUUUUAAUGCACUUUUCGUUUAACAAGUCAACAUCAAUUUCUUUUGUUGUAAAAGAGUCAUUGGAAGGUGGCUUUCUUUUCGGAGAAAGUGUUUAUAGCCUUUGGCUUCUGCAAUCGGAGAGAUUGAGGUCUGCAGCGUGGAUCCUUCGGGGUUAGAUGCAUUUGUGCUAAGUUAUAGCCUUUCAUAGACAACUUGUUGACUAUGAUCAGUCAUGUAGCUUACUCGCUUAUGCUAUUU
rnacentral:misc_RNA from 1 species